rnacentral:misc_RNA from 1 species
UUUCCGUAGGUGAACCUGCGGAAGGAUCAUUAAAGAGUAAGGGUCUUCGGGCCCGAUCUCCAACCCUUUGUUUAACUACCAUGUUGCUUUGGCGGGCCCGUCUCACGACCGCCGGAAGUUUGGCUUCGACCAAACUUCUGGCCCGUGCCCGUCAGUGGCCCCUUCAAAUUCUUGAUCAAGUAUGAUGUCUUAGUUAAAAACUUAAUAGUUAAAACCUUCAACAACGGAUCUCUUGGUUCUG